AGGCACUCAGUGAGACACAGAAUAACAGAAUGACCCCGGUUGGAAAGGACCUCAAGGAUCAUGAAGCUCCAACCCCCCCUGCCACAGGCAGGGCCACCAACUUCCACGUUUAAUACUGGACCAGGCUACCCAGGGCCCCAUGCAACCUGGCCUUAAUCGUCGAGGUUCGCUGCUUCGGAGCUGUCCCAGCCAGAACUGCAGCGACUGACCACGAGCUCUAUUUGUAGGCUGUGAUUGGAGAAAAAGCUGAAGCAUUUUAUUUCAUGAAGACUAUGAUUGUAGAACUCCUAAAAUUGCUCCCAUGCAAGUUUCCCCCAACACUGACUUCAGCUGACUGCCUGAGAGCGCCACAAGUGUGCCUCAAGGAAUUUAGCCAGACAGAAGUGAGACAGAUGAGGCAAACAGAUGAACAGCAAAGAAGUGCCUUGGUUUCUCUAACAGGGAGUGUGAAAACUGUGGAAUACGUGGAGCAAAGUCUUGGCUGCAUAGAACAAG
ensembl:lncRNA